CAACUUUUAUAGAUAUGAAAAAGGGCAUAAAUUCCUACAAAGGAUAACAAAAUAGGGAUACAAUCUUUAGGGGAAAAGGAAAUAAAAUGAAAGAAGAUACGUUCCCAUACAAGGGAAUAGAAAAACUAGCUACUGGAUGCUCCUUCGUUUGUCUUUGCCUUCUUAGCCUUGUUCACCUCCUGUUACAUUUGAUAUCUAUUGAUGAUCAGAUGACUCCUGCACAUCUGUUCCUUGUUGUUAUAGGUCAUCCUUUCUAUACUAUCAAUCUGAGAAGCCAUUCUAUCCUCCAAAUCGAUUAGACACUGCCUAGCAUCAUCAGCCUUAUGCCCGGCUUGCUUCAACUCUUCCCUCAACAUACGUAUAGUCAAAUCAUCCUCCAUAUGCAUCUAUCGAUAAGUGAUUACACUUUUCUAAAAUUCAUUUCCAAGCCUGUGGAGUCAGAUCUGAGACCUAGAAGUACUAGAAAAGGCCACUCACCCCCUCGAAUAGUGUAUCUCCCUGAAUGAAGAUAUUUGAUGGACCAUUAGAUAUCAUCAUCCCUUAAUUCUCUAAAAGUCUUAAACCAAAAUCCCGGAGAUGAUUCCCUUUUGAACUUGUGCAGGAACAACCAGAUGUCAUGCAAUGAUAAAAGGUCCUACCUCAUUUUAUGGUUAGUCUGUACUGUUCUAGGAUUUUUCACCAAAUGCAUCAUCAUCCACCACUGCAGGAUGAGGUUGCAGCCUUAAAAGAAAUGAUCCUCGGCUUGACACCUUUCCAAAGCUAGAUAUAUGUCAGCUACAAUCAUGGGAGCUAAGUUAUGGAAUACCUUUUUAGAACCAUACUUCAUUCCAUAGAAGAGUGUGUGGGUCACCGUGACAACCCUUCGAUGAAUUGUGCCAUUUUCCCCUUGUGGAAACACCAUAGUUCCAAGUAGGCCUACCGCGAGUGCAAAUGCUCUGGUCUCCUUCCAUUUUGCUUCCGACUCAAAUUUAUGUUCUAACUUCUAAAAAGCAUUAAAUCUUCCAAACCAAUGAUACAACUCACGAAAAAAGAUAUUUGCUCUGUCACGUUCCCCUAGCCAAGUGUCAUCAUCAGUUAAAAAUACCUUUUUGAUCUUUUGACGGUCCCUAGAAGAUCUGCUACGAGAGUACUAAAAUGUGCGUCACGUUACCCUCUCUUCUCUUGAAGAACAUUUUAGUACUCUCGUAGCAA
rnacentral:lncRNA from 1 species